rnacentral:lncRNA from 1 species
CCCUCCAACCCCACCCCACCCCACCUUAGACAAUCUUGAAAAAACCUUAGGCAAAACCCUAGAAGAGAACUUGAAAGAAAAACAUGGCUUCCAUCUUCAUCAACAAACCAAGAAACAAAAGUCCUAACUAAACCCUAAUACCCUAAGCCGCCGCCGUCCUCACCUCACAGCCAGCCGUCAAUCCGACCAGCCACACCAGCCAGCGUUUCUAUUUCGCUGGCUAGCCUCACCGCCAAACGACCACCAUGACUGCCUGAAACGGGCUAAGACCCCUUGAAAUUCGUCUUCUUCCACCCCAAACGACCCCUUCUACUUAACAGCCGAGAGCAGCAGCGUCUGAACAAUAACGAUCCCACGCCCGGCGGUCUUCUUCUUCGUCCUUACGUCCAUCGUUCCAUCCUUGAUUUACUAACCAUUUUCUUGUAUCAGAAGCCAUGGAAGGUGGAGAAGCCAUGGCAGGUGGAUUUGAAGAAGGGAGGAGGGGUUUUCUUUAAUUUUAUUUGUUUGCUUAUUUUAUUUUAUUUUUUGUUUAAGAAAUUAAAAUUUUGUUAAAUAAUAUUAUUUUGGCAUAAAAUCUUAUGUGGAUGAUGAUUUGCCAUUCACGUCAAGCAAGUGAGUAUCACGUUAUUCCGGAGGGUUUAAAAGUCUUGUUUUAAUUGAGUUGAAGUGUCCAGA